UGUGUGGCUUAGUGGUAGAGCCUCUGCUUCGCAUGCAGAAGGUCCCAGAUUCAACCCCAAGCAUCUCAG
rnacentral:tRNA from 1 species